AGAUCACUACUUAUAUUAAAGAUAUACUUUUUUAAAUUUCUCUUUUUAUUCCACCAUAUUACAAUCGUUCAUUUUGAUCCCUUUCAACAACUCAUCCUCCGUCCCAUUAACACUUGCAUGAAUUGUGCAGUUGGCAUUCCCAAAUCUACAACAACUUCACUUCGGAUGGGAUGAUGGGAUGAAAGAGAGAUUGCAUGGCCUACGACCUGCAUCGGACUACUUUUGCAAACUUAAAGUUCUCCGACUUGUACGGUUUCCUCAACAAUUAGCUAUAUUCCCAUCUUACCUGUUCCAAUUACUAUCCUUACCCAAUCUCGAAGCCUUCAAAUAGCACAUUGUUACUUUGAAGAGUUGGUAUUCCAAAGUGAAGGAGUUGGUGGUGAGGAAGGAUUCCAAAAUCUAAGGAUUUUACAUGUGAAACGCUGUCCCAAAUUAAAAAGUAAUUUCGUUCCGUCUUCAGUAUGUUUCCAGUAUCUGAUGACUCUUGAAGUUCAAUUUUGUGAUGGGAUCAUAAAAUUAGUUACACAUUCAACAGCCAAAAGCCUAGUGCAGCUCAGAGAAAUGAGGAUAAGUUAUUGUAGAGAGAUAGAAGAAAUCAUAGAAGGUAGCGAUGGGGAUCGUGAUGAAGUGAAGGAUGAAAUCAUUUUCCCCAAACUCAACCUUUUGGAACUUACUGGGCUAUCAAAUCUAGAAAGCUUCUGCUCAUCAGGGAAUCAUACCUUUGGAUUCCCAUCCUUAGCAACCGUACUUGUGCAUGAAUGCCCAAAGAUGAAGAUGUUCUCUAAGGGAGGGUUAAACGCUCCGAUGUUGCACAAAGUACGACCAAAUGAGUGGGCAGAUGAAGGGUAUUGGAUUUGGGAAGGAAGCCUUAAUAGCACCAUACAAAAACUGUUCACGGAAAGGAAUCCCAUGGAGGAAAUGCAGUAUUCUAUAGAAGAUCAACGCAAUCCUUCAAUUUCUAACACACAAUCAACAUAGUCGAGAAUUCUGAAGAAGAUCAGCUCAAUCCUUCAACUGCCAAGAAACAGAGUAAGUUCUUCAUUUGAAGGUGUUUUCUUCAUCUCAAGUGCAGAAGUGCAAGGGUUCUAAUUCCUAUUUCCUUCACGGCCAGCAUUUAUGUGCCAUGGCAGAGUGAAGUAAACAAUGUAUGUAUUUUGAGACAUCAUUAUUGAUACUUCAUCGUUUGAAAUCAAAUGGUUAUAAGAUUUCUUUAUUAUAAUACAAGGGUUCUUUAAAAUGAAAUAAUGGUACUCUUUUUUUUCGUUUCUUUUGAUUGUCAAUUAUCAUAUUACUAAAGGGCAGUGCUGCCAAGCUAUUCUGUCUCUAAAGACAAGUUUAAUCAUGCUGCAUUUGAUCAACCUGUAAAUGGUUGCAGCUUCUUUCUUUUAGUCUUUUAUGUUUCUAUGGUGACUAAUUAUAGCUUGCCAUUUAUUUGAACAACCUUGGAAGAAAUAACAUAUGUACUACUUUUCUAUUUUUAAUGAUCUGGGUGUUGAGAAGUUAUGGAUGACAACAGUUCUGAAGUCAGAGGAUAAGGAGAAAUAUUAUGAAGUUCAGGAUCACAUACUUAUUUUGAAAUUUCAAGGAUUUGCGACUCUCCCUUUUUGGGAAGGUACAAACUAUUUCACGUUGAAACUUGAAAGAAAGCUCAAUUCAUAUUUAUUCUGGAGGCUCAAAUUGAUGGUUUUUGUUUGGGCUGGCUGAUGGUUUGUGUUUGUUUACAGGUGAUUUUCUGCUGCAUUGAACCAAUGGCAAAUUCUUGAGUCCAUUGGGUGCCCCAAGGUGUGCUGUGCCUACAACAUUUUGUGAAUGGGCAAUUUAUCCAUCCUGAUAUAACCUGUUCCAUUCUACUCGACCCUUGUGCUGAGUUCCAUGCUACCUUGGUGGCACUGUUCAGAAGCAUGAUUUGAUGGCUCAUGGUGAACAAGAUCUGUGAUUGACAUUUUUUAUCAUCAAUGUGAAUUGUAAAUAGAGCAUUCAAUGUCAAGGAGGCAGAUGGUACAGGAAAAUUGGGCAGAACGAAUACCCCUCCUAGUUUUCUCAUACGAUGAGGGCUAAUGCCAAUUAAUCCUACUGAUUGAAUGGAAGAAUGGGAAAGAAUCCAAUCGCCAUUGAAGGUUUACAAAGUAUUUGCCUCAUGUCAAGUGAAGAAGCUGGUCCUUUUCAAACUUUAGCAAAGGCUUACUAGUUUCAUUUCGUUAAUUGAAAACAUAUACAAGUCAAAACACUUGCAGAAAGCCCAAUGAUUGACAACUCAUUGGGAUGGAGCAGUUUUUUCUGAUUUUUAUUUAGGACAUUUUCUAUCAGCAUUGACAUAAACAGAACAACCUAUAGCAAGGAUCUUGGUCCUCUGAUUACACUAUAAGCCAAGAGUUUCCAAGUAUAAGAAACAGAGGAUCGUUGUUCAAGUACAAUGGUUUUUAUCUACAAUAGAUAUCAG